rnacentral:lncRNA from 1 species
AUUGAUUUAGCCCUAAUUCUUGUUGGACUGAGCCUAAUAAUUUAUGUCAUCAUAGAUUGAUUUAGCUCCAAUUCUUGUUGGACCGAGCCCAAUAAUUGCUGACAUAAUAACUUGGUUUAGGCUCCAAUUCUUGUUGGAUCAAGGGCAACAUAUGCUGAUGUCAUAACUUUGUUUAGGUCCAAUUCUUAAUGGAUUUAGCCAAACAUGUGCUGGCAUCACAACUUUAAUGAGGCCCGCGAAAUAAUGGGCUGAGGGGGUAAGGCCACGAAAUUUUAGGCCCAGUUAUUUUUGGGUGUAGCCCAGAUAGCGCUUAGUUAAAAUAUAAUCUAAUUUAAUAUUACAUACAAAUCAAUUUGGUAAUUGACAACACAAAUAAUCUUUCCAUACCACACAUACAAAUAAAUGUUUCCCAUCACACUUCACACAUUAUUAUUCAUAACCAAAGAACAAGCACAAGCAUAUUAUCCCUAAGAGAUCACAAACCACUACACAUGAUAUCUCUCCGACCAAGAACAAAGCUGGCCUAGAAACACAUUGAGCACAAACUACAAUACUCACAAACCAGCACAAGCAGCUGGGAGGAUAUGAGCAGAUGCCUAAGAAACACAUUGACCUUACCCUCUGAAGUUUAGCAGUUGACAAAGGAGGUACUCAGUUUCUCUUACUGCUUUCU